GGCCUUUGGAAAGUUCAAUAGGGACCUCCUCAAAUUCAAUUCCAUUUAAUCUAGCAAUAAAUUUAAAAUAUAUAUAUAUAUAUAUAAUAUAAUCAGAUUAUGAUGAUUCAGAAAAAAAGUAAUCAAAGUUUUAGAUUCUAAAUUAAAGAAGUCAAUGAUGAUCUGAGAGUGGAAUUAGAAAUUUACUUGCAGAAAAUAAGAAUAGCACGAGAAGGCUGAGACAAGCGAUCCACAUAAAGUUUGAGCGACAUCUCUUUGCUGGCUAUGGAUUGAUCAGAAUUGAUUCUUUACUGUGAAAUGUGGGGAGGGGGGGAGGAAUGGAGAGAGGCCGCGUAUUUAAAG
rnacentral:lncRNA from 1 species